GUCCAAGGUGAUUCCCUCUCCAAGGGGCUAGCUGUGCCCUUUUCAGGAACGUAGCAACUUGGAAGAAAACCAGGCAUGCCUGAGGUCUCUGGUGAACAAGUGCACUUGUUUCCUUUGCCUUCCUUUGGCUGCCAACAUGG